rnacentral:lncRNA from 1 species
UUGUUCUGGAUGUACUGAUAGAUUAGUUGUUAAUUAUUGUAGUGUUUCAUUCUUGCAGAACAAAAAUAAGAUGUAUGGGUUACUUCUUGGCCCAGCUGAGAGAACCCUCAUGUUGAAAAGUACAAAGAAGUUCUGAAGCAAUUCCUAGUUUCUUUAGAAGCAUUCAUGGUUAAAAGCAACGGCAAUCUCCUCUGUUCAAGUUGAGCACUGGUCAUCGUCCAAGUUGAGCGCUAGAUGCCGUCCAAGUUCAAAGAUGGUUGUAUGCAAGUACAGAAGUUUGUUUUAGUGAGAAAAAAUGCGGGUUUUUGGACAAUAUUCUGUAUGUUUGGUUUGCUCAACCUUAGAACUUGGAGAUAUCCACUCUAUUUUUCUAUGAUGAAGGCACACAUGAGAUCAUGUGCAAAUGGUUAUUCCCCUACUUUGUUUCUUCAAAUGUGUAUUUUGUUUCUUAUAAUGUGUUGUUCCCCUGUUCGAUGAGGUAAAACAAAGAAAAAUAGUGAAAAUAUCAUUCAAGACUUGUCCGGUAGAAAGUGUGGAGAAGAAAGCAGAAGUUUUUAAAACAAGGGAAUGGUAAAAAUAUAAGUCCAUUCAACUAUAUAAACCAUGCAGGUACAAUGGCGAUGACGCCGUCAGUAAGGAUGAGAAGGAAAAUUUAAAACUAAAACAAAAAGAGCUUCGAGUGAUUAUUUUUUGAGAAGUACGAACUCUCUAGUACCAUAAGUUUGAAUAUUAUUGUGCAAAAGGUACAAAAAAAUGAAUGCCCAGAAGAAAAGAACACUUACUGAUAGAAAAAAUACCUUGUGAAAGUUUAGAGCACAAAAAGGUCAAGUUGCAGAAAGAAUGAAGUGCAGAGUUGAGCACUGGCCCGUUCAGCAAAAAAAAUACGAUUGGCCUCCUCAUGUUGAGCACUGGUCAUCGUCCAAGUUGAGCACUAUGUGCCGUCCAGGUUCAAAGAGGGCUGUAUGCAAGUACAUAAGUUUGUUUUAGUGAGAAAAAUGCAGGGUUUUGACAAUAUUCUGUAUGAUUCAUUUAUUCAACCUUAGAACUUGGCAAUAUUCAGUCUAUUUUUCUAUGAUGAAGGCACACAUGAAGUCCUGUACAAUGGUUACCCCCUAGUGCUUCAAAGAUUCGUAUUUUGUCCUCAGAAUCAGUACAACGAAAUGACAGUAUCAGUACAAAUGCUCGAAUUCAUCAGUUCAACAAUACUAACACGAUGGCGUGAUGAACUGCUAAAAGAGAAUAAUAUCCCCCUCAUAAAAAUACAAU